GCCAUUGUGGUGGAAUUGGUAGACACGCCAGCCUUAGGAGCUGGUGCCGCAAGGUGUGUGGGUUCGAGUCCCACCAAUGGCA
rnacentral:tRNA from 1 species